GAGAGCACAGUACGAUGAAAGUUGUAAGCUGUGUUCGGGGGGGAGUUAUUGCCUAUCGUUGUCCUCUAUGGUAGAACCCGUCGGGGAGGCCUGAGAGGCGGUGGUUUACCUUGU
rfam:Zea mays cultivar B73 chromosome 4, whole genome shotgun sequence.